rnacentral:rRNA from 1 species
UGGUGAAUAUUGGACAAUGGGGGGAACCCUGAUCCAGCCAUGCCGCGUGUGUGAAGAAGGCCUUAUGGUUGUCAAGCACUUUAAGCGAGGAGGAGGGUACUGGUAUUAAUACUACCAGGUACUGGACGUUACUCGCAGAAUAAGCACCGGCUAACUCUGUGCCAGCAGCCGCGGUAAUACAGAGGGUGCGAGCGUUAAUCGGAUUUACUGGGCGUAAAGCGUGCGUAGGCGGCUAAUUGAGUCGGAUGUGAAAUCCCCGAGCUUAACUUGGGAAUUGCAUUCGAUACUGGUUAGCUAGAGUGUGGGAGAGGAUGGUAGAAUUCCAGGUGUAGCGGUGAAAUGCGUAGAGAUCUGGAGGAAUACCGAUGGCGAAGGCAGCCAUCUGGCCUAACACUGACGCUGAGGUACGAAAGCAUGGGGAGCAAACAGG